rnacentral:rRNA from 1 species
AGCAGCCGCGGUAAUUCCAGCUCCAAUAGCGUAUAUUAAAGUUGCUGCAGUUAAAAAGCUCGUAGUUGAAUUUCGGGACCAUCAUGUCGGUCGUGCCUCGGUACGUACUAAUUUAUUGGUUUCUUCCUUCUGACGAACCAUGAUGUCAUUAAUUUGGUGUCUUGGGGAAUCAGGACUGUUACUUUGAAAAAAUUAGAGUGUUUAAAGCAGGCUCACGCUUGAAUACAUUAGCAUGGAAUAAUGAAAUAGGACGUUUGAUUCUAUUUUGUUGGUUUCUAGGGUCGACGUAAUGAUUAAUAGGGAUAGUUGGGGGCAUUAGUAUUCAAUUGUCAGAGGUGAAAUUCUUGGAUUUAUUGAAGACUAACUACUGCGAAAGCAUUUGCCAAGGAUGUUUUCAUUAAUCAAGAACGAAAGUUAGGGGAUCGAAGACGAUCAGAUACCGUCGUAGUCUUAACCAUAAACUAUGCCGACUAGGGAUCGGAUGAUGUUAAUUUUUAAUGACUCAUUCGGCGCCUUACGG